CCUACGGGAGGCUGCAGUGGGGAAUAUUGGGCAAUGGGCGCAAGCCUGACCCAGCAACGCCGCGUGAAGGAAGAAGGCUUUCGGGUUGUACACUUCUUUUAUCAGGGACGAAGCAAGUGACGGUACCUGAUGAAUAAGCCACGGCUAACUACGUGCCAGCAGCCGCGGUAAUCCGUAGGUGGCAAGCGUUAUCCGGAUUUACUGGGUGUAAAGGGCGUGUAGGCGGGAGUGUAAGUCAGAUGGGAAAACUAUGGGCUCAACCCAAAGCCUGCAUUUGAAACUGUACUUCUUGAGGGCUGGAGAGGCAAUCGGAAUUCCGGGUGUAGCGGUGAAAUGCGUAGAUAUACGGAGGAACACCAGUGGCGAAGGCGGAUUGCUGGACAGUAACUGACGCUGAGGCGCGAAAGCGUGGGGAGCAAACAGGAUUAGAUACCCUGGUAGUC
rnacentral:rRNA from 1 species